UACGAAGGAUGCAAGCGUUAUCCGGAUUCACUGGGUUUAAAGGGUGUGCAGGUGGGGUAAUAAGUCAGUGGUGAAAGCCCCCGACUCAAUCGGGGAACUGCCAUAGAUACUGUUAUUCUUGAGUGUAGUUGAGGCGGAUGGAAUGUGACAUGUAGCGGUGAAAUGCUUAGAUAUGUCAUAGAACACCGAUUGCGAAGGCAGUCCGCAAAACUAUUACUGACACUGACGCACGAAAGUGAGGGGAUCAAACAGG
rnacentral:rRNA from 1 species